CAGUAGCCGCGGUAAUUCGAAGGGGGCUAGCGUUGCUCGGAAUUACUGGGCGUAAAGCGUGCGUAGGUGGUAGUUUAAGUCCGUUGUGAAAGCCCUGGGCUCAACCUGGGAAUUGCAGUGGAUACUGGGUCACUAGAGUGUGGUAGAGGAUAGUGGAAUUUCCGGUGUAGCAGUGAAAUGCGUAGAGAUCGGAAGGAACAUCUGUGGCGAAGGCGACUAUCUGGGCCAACACUGACACUGAGGCACGAAAGCGUGGGGAGCAAACAGGAUUAGAUACCCCCGUAGUCCCUGUCUCUUAUAC
rnacentral:rRNA from 1 species